AGAGUUUGAUCCUGGCUCAGAUUGAACGCUGGCGGCAUGCCUUACACAUGCAAGUCGAACGGUAACAGGGAGCUUGCUCCGCUGACGAGUGGCGAACGGGUGAGUAAUAUAUCGGAACGUGCCUGAUAGUGGGGGACAACUAGUCGAAAGAUUAGCUAAUACCGCAUACGCCCUACGGGGGAAAGAGGGGGAUUCGCAAGAACCUCUCGUUAUCAGAGCGGCCGAUAUCUGAUUAGCUAGUUGGUGAGGUAAAGGCUCACCAAGGCUUCGAUCAGUAGCUGGUCUGAGAGGACGACCAGCCACACUGGGACUGAGACACGGCCCAGACUCCUACGGGAGGCAGCAGUGGGGAAUUUUGGACAAUGGGCGCAAGCCUGAUCCAGCAAUGCCGCGUGAGUGAAGAAGGCCCUUCGGGUUUGUAAAGCUCUUUUUGUCAGGGAAAGAAACGGUCUUUGGUUAAUACCCUGGGGCUAAUGACGGUACCUGAAGAAUAAGCACCGGCUAACUACGUGCCCAGCAGCCGCGGUAAUACGUAGGGUGCAAGCGUUAAAUCGGAAAUUACUGGGCG
rnacentral:rRNA from 1 species